GACACGACUCUCGGCAACGGAUAUCUCGGCUCUCGCAUCGAUGAAGAACGUAGCGAAAUGCGAUACCUGGUGUGAAUUGCAGAAUCCCGCGAACCAUCGAGUCUUUGAACGCAAGUUGCGCCCGAGGCCACCCGGUCGAGGGCACGCCUGCCUGGGCGUCAUGC
rnacentral:rRNA from 1 species